GCGUAACGCGUAUGCAACUUACCUUAUACAGGGGGAUAGCCCGUGGAAACGCGGAUUAACACCCCAUAGGUCACUGGUACUGCAUGGUACAGGUGGUAAAUCUGAGGAGGUAUAAGAUGGGCAUGCGUCUGAUUAGCUGGUUGGUAAGGUAACGGCUUACCAAGGCGACGAUCAGUAGGGGUUCUGAGAGGAACAACCCCCACACUGGUACUGAGACACGGACCAGACUCCUACGGGAGGCAGCAGUGAGGAAUAUUGGUCAAUGGGCGAGAGCCUGAACCAGCCAUUCCGCGUGAAGGAAGAAGGCCUUACGGGUUGUAAACUUCUUUUCUGUAAGAAGAAUAGCCCCGACGCGUCGGGGUAUGACGGUAUUAUAGGAAUAAGCAUCGGCUAACUCCGUGCCAGCAGCCGCGGUAAUACGGAGGAUGCAAGCGUUAUCCGGAUUUAUUGGGUUUAAAGGGUGCGCAGGUGGUUUUAUAAGUCAGUGGUGAAAGUCUGGCGCUUAACGUUAGGAUUGCCAUUGAUACUGUAGGACUUGAGUAUGGAUGAGGUAGGUGGAAUGUGUAGUGUAGCGGUGAAAUGCAUAGAUAUUACACAGAACGCCGAUUGCGAAGGCAGCUUACUAAUCCAUGACUGACGCUGAGGCACGAAAGCGUGGGGAUCAAACAGGAUUAGAUACCCUGGGUAGUCCACGCUGUAAACGAUGAUCACUCGCUGUUUGCGAUAUACGGUAAGCGGCUGAACGAAAGCAAUAAGUGAUCCCACCUGGGGAGUACGAUCGCAAGGUUGAAACUCCAAGGAAUUG
rnacentral:rRNA from 1 species